rnacentral:rRNA from 1 species
AGUCGAGGGGUAAGAGGAAGAAGCUUGCUUCUUUGCUGACGACCGGCGCACGGGUGCGUAACGCGUAUACGAUCUGCCUUGUACUGGGGGAUAGCCUUUAGAAAUGAAGAUUAACACCCCAUAGUAUAUGACUGUGGCAUCGCAGACAUAUUAAAGGUUACGGUACAAGAUGAGUAUGCGUCCUAUUAGCUAGAUGGUGUGGUAACGGCACACCAUGGCGACGAUAGGUAGGGGCCCUGAGAGGGGGAUCCCCCACACUGGUACUGAGACACGGACCAGACUCCUACGGGAGGCAGCAGUGAGGAAUAUUGGACAAUGGAGGCAACUCUGAUCCAGCCAUGCCGCGUGCAGGAAGACUGCCCUAUGGGUUGUAAACUGCUUUUAUACGGGAAGAAACACCCCCACGUGUGGGGGCUUGACGGUACCGUAAGAAUAAGCACCGGCUAACUCCGUGCCAGCAGCCGCGGUAAUACGGAGGGUGCAAGCGUUAUCCGGAAUCAUUGGGUUUAAAGGGUCCGUAGGCGGACAAUUAAGUCAGAGGUGAAAGUCUGCAGCUCAACUGUAGAAUUGCCUUUGAUACUGGUUGUCUUGAAUUAUUGUGAAGUGGUUAGAAUAAGUAGUGUAGCGGUGAAAUGCAUAGAUAUUACUUAGAAUACCAAUUGCGAAGGCAGAUCACUAACAAUAUAUUGACGCUG